rnacentral:rRNA from 1 species
AACGAACGCUGGCGGCAUGCCUAACACAUGCAAGUCGAACGAGACCUUCGGGUUAAGUAGCGAAUGGGUGCGUAACGCGUGGGAAGCUGCCCUUAGGUUCGGAAUAACUCCUCGACAGGGGUGCUAACACCGGAUAACGUCUUCGGACCCACGAUUUAUCGCCUUUGGAUGGGCCGGCGUUGAAUUAGCUAUUUCGGAUGGUAAAAGCCUACCACGGCGUGGCUUGAUAGCUGGUGUGAGAGGUUGGUCAGCCACACUGGGACUGAGACACGGCCCAGAAUCGUACGGGAGGCAGUAGAGGCGAAUAUUGCACAACCGGGGCAGGCGUGAUACAGCAAGGCGGCGUGAGUUAUGCAGGUCUUAGAGUUGAAAAGCUCUUUUAACCGGGACGCUAAUGACGGUACCGGAAGAAUAAGCACCGGCUAACUCCGUG